rnacentral:rRNA from 1 species
CCUACGGGUGGCAGCAGUGAGGCAUAUUGGUCAAUGGGCGAGAGCCUGAACCAGCCAAGUCGCGUGAGGGAGUACUGCCCUAUGGGUUGUAAACCUCUUUUGUCGGGGAGCAAAAGCCGGAGGUGUCCGGCUGUGAGAGUACCCGAAGAAAAAGCAUCGGCUAACUCCGGGCCAGCAGCCGCGGUAAUACGGAGGAUGCGGACGUUAUCCGGAUUUAUUGGGUUUACAGGGUGCGCAGGCGGAUGUUAAAGGCAGCGGUCAAAUAGUGGGGCCCAACCCCAUCCAGCCGUUGAAUCGGGGGAUCUAGAGUGUGCGAGAGGGAUGCGGAAUGCGUGGUGUAGCGGUGAAAUGCAUAGAUAUCACGCAGAACACCGAUUGCGAAGGCAUCUCACGAAUCCGCGAUUGACGCUGAUGCACGAAAGCGUGGGUAUCAAACAGGAUUAGAUACCCUUGUAGUC